UACAGAGGUCUCAAGCGUUGUUCGGAUUCAUUGGGCGUAAAGGGUGCGUAGGCGGCGCGGUAAGUCGGGUGUGAGAUUUCGAGGCUUAACUUCGAAACUGCAUUCGAUACUGCCGUGCUAGAGGACUGGAGAGGAGACUGGAAUUUACGGUGUAGCGGUGAAAUGCGUAGAUAUCGUAAGGAAGACCAGUGGCGAAGGCGGGUCUCUGGACAGUUCCUGACGCUGAGGCACGAAGGCCAGGGGAGCAAACGGG
rnacentral:rRNA from 1 species